AAAAGCUAAUAAAGGGCGUAUGGUGGAUGCCUUGGCUCUGAGAGGCGAAGAAGGACGUGAUAAGCUGCGAUAAGCUGCGGGAAUUGGCACAUACAAAUUGAUCCGCAGAUUUCCGAAUGGGGAAACCUAUCAUAUGAAUUUUUAUGUGAUAUUACUUUAACGUAAGGCGAACCUAGAGAACUGAAACAUCUAAGUAUCUAGAGGAAAAGAAAACAAUAGUGAUUCUGUUAGUAGUGGCGAGCGAAAAUGGAAUAGCCCAAACCGUUUUAGUCUAGGCUAUAACGGGGUUGUAGGUCUACUAUAAAAGACUAUUUUUCUAUAGCAGAAUGAUUUGGAAAAAUCAAUCAUAGAAGGUGAUAAUCCUGUAUGCGAAAUAGAAAAAUUACAAAAGUAGUCACCUGAUUAGGACGGGACACGGGAAAUCUUGUCUGAAUUUGCCGGGACCAUCCGGUAAGGCUAAAUACUACUCAGAGACCGAUAGUGAACUAGUACCGUGAGGGAAAGGUGAAAAGUACUUCGAAUAGAAGGGUGAAAUAGAUCCUGAAACCAUACGCUUACAAACUGUCGGAGCUUUUUUAUAAAGUGACGGCGUGCCUUUUGCAUAAUGAACCUACGAGUUAAUUUUUUUCGGCAAGGUUAAGUAGUUCAGCUAUGGAGCCGUAGCGAAAGCGAGUCUGAAUAGGGCGUAUAGUCGGAAGAAUUAGACGCGAAACCGAGUGAUCUAUCCAUGAGCAGGUUGAAGCUGUGGUAACACAUAGUGAAGGACCGAACCGGUUGACGUUGAAAAGUCUUCGGAUGACUUGUGGAUAGGGGUGAAAGGCCAAUCAAACUCGGAGAUAGCUCGUACUCCCCGAAAUGCAUUUAGGUGCAGCAUCGUGUUAAAUAAUACAGAGGUAGAGCUACUGAUUGGAUGAAGGGGUUUCAUCACCUACUUAUUCCUGACAAACUCCGAAUGCUGUUAUUAUGUUUCACGGUAGUGAGGGCAUGGGUGCUAAGGUCCAUGUCCAAAAGGGAAACAACCCAGAUCAUCAGUUAAGGCCCCUAAGUAUAUAUUAAGUUGAACAAACGAGGUUUAGUUACUAAAACAGCUAGGAUGUUAGCUUGGAAGCAGCUAUUCAUUUAAAGAGUGCGUAACAGCUCACUAGUCAAGUGAUUAAGCAUGGAUAAUAAUCGGGCAUAAAUAUAUCGCCGAAACUAUGGGAUUGAUUAAUUAAUCAAUCGGUAGGGGAGCAUUGUAAUGGCAAAGAAGCUAUGUUGUAAGAUGUAGUGGAGCUUUUACAAAAGAAAAUGUAGGUAUAAGUAACGAUAAUACGGGUGAAAAACCCGUACACCGAAAAACUAAGGGUUCCUCAGCUAUGUUAAUCAACUGAGGGUUAGUCGGUUCCUAAGGUAAAAUCGAAAGGUGUAAUCGAUGGAAAACCGGUUAAUAUUCCGGUACUUGCUUUUAUUGCGAUGGGGGGACGGAGGAAUGAAACUGUCGCGUACGUACGGAUGUGUACGUUAAAGUAGCUAGGUAUAAAAUAUAUUGGAAAAUCCGUAUAUUUUGCUAAUCUACGAUAGUACCACAAGUCUUAGGAUAAGUGGAUAGUGCAGGUAAGAACUUCCAAGAAAAGCCUCUAAGCUUCAGAUAAAAGUAAUCCGUACCAAAACCGACACAGGUAGUUGAGGAGAGUAUCCUAAGGUGCUCGAGUGAUUCAUGGCUAAGGAACUAGGCAAAAUAAACCUGUAACUUCGGGAGAAAGGUAGCCUUCUUUAGGGAAGGUCGCAGCGAAGAGAUCCAGGCGACUGUUUAUCAAAAACAUAGGACUCUGCUAAAUUGAAAAAUGACGUAUAGGGUCUGACACCUGCCCAGUACUGGAAGGUUAAAGAAAAAGGUUAGCUUCGGCAAAGCUUUUGACUGAAGCCCCAGUAAACGGCGGCCGUAACUAUAACGGUCCUAAGGUAGCGAAAUUCCUUGUCGGGUAAGUUCCGACCUGCACGAAUGGUGUAACGAUCUGGAAACUGUCUCAGCCAUGAGCUCGGUGAAAUUGUAAUAUCGGUGAAGAUGCCGAUUACUCGCAAUGGGACGAAAAGACCCUGUGAACCUUUACUAUAGCUUCGUAUUGAUUUUGAUUAAAAAAUGUGUAGGAUAGGUGGGAAACUUUGAAACAUUGUCGCUAGGCAAUGUGGAGUUGUCCUUGAAAUACCACCCUUUUUUUAAUUGAAAUCUAACUCGAUUAAAAAAAUUGAGAACAUUGCGUGGUGGGUAGUUUGACUGGGGUGGUCGCCUCCAAAAAGGUAACGGAGGCUCCCAAAGGUACCCUCAACACGUUUGGUAAUCGUGUGUAGAGUGUAAUGGCAUAAGGGUGCUUGACUGUGAGACUUACAAGUCGAUCAGGUACGAAAGUAGGGCAUAGUGAUCCGGUGGUUCCGUAUGGAAGGGCCAUCGCUCAAAGGAUAAAAGGUACUCCGGGGAUAACAGGCUAGUCUCCCCCAAGAGCUCACAUCGACGGGGAGGUUCGGCACCUCGAUGUCGGCUCGUCACAUCCUGGGGCUGAAGAAGGUCCCAAGGGUUGGGCUGUUCGCCCAUUAAAGUGGCACGCGAGCUGGGUUCAGAACGUCGUGAGACAGUUCGGUCUCUAUCUAUUGCGAGCGUUAGAAGCUUGAGUGGACCUGAUUCUAGUACGAGAGGACCGAAUUGGACGAACCUCUGGUGUAUCAGUUGUAUCGCCAGGUGCAUCGCUGAGUAGCUAUGUUCGGAAGAGAUAAGCACUGAAAGCAUAUAAGUGCGAAACUCACCACAAGAUUAGGCUUCUUUUAUUUUUUUUAUUUAAGGGUCGUUGAAGAUGACAACGUUGAUAGGCUAUAGGUGUAAAGAUAGUAAUGUCAUAGCCGAGUAGUACUAAUUACCCGUAAGCUUUUUAUC
rnacentral:rRNA from 1 species